CAAAGGAAAUGCAGGAGGAGGCUGCCAGCACACCCACGCCCCUUGCGACGCGUUCUCCAUGGCAGCAGCCAAAGCUGCAGAGAAGUGGGCAUGACCGGAACUAAGUGGGCUUGCAGAAUCACAGGCCCCUCAGAGAUUUGCAGGGCGGACAGCAAAGAAAAGGAGGCCAGAGGCCUGUGGCAGCCUGUCCCCAAGCCACACAGCCAGGAGAUGGCAGGGCUGGGACCAGCGGGACAGCCAAGGAGAUGGAAAGAUCAGAUGACAAUGAAAAUAUUCACAGCCAGCCUGGCUGGGGCCUGGGCAGUCAGAACAAACACCCCUGGAGGCAUUGGGCCCCAGCAGGUGCCCUCGGAGUGCACAUGAGCUGAUGGAUCCUCAGCCUUGGUGGCAGUUGUGAAGAGGAGGAGUGGUAAGGAAUGGGGAAAUACGGUGAGUGCAAACUCUGUCUCCCUGUCAUCACACCCCAUGCCUAACAGACAUUAUCGCAUUUCACUCUCACAAUCAGACUUUUAAAGCAGGGGAUGUCAUUAGCUCCAUUUUACAUAGGAGGGUCCUCCAGCUUCAUUAGGGUAAAUAACUUGCUCAUCUAAAAGAGAACAGAGACGGGAGUCAGCCCUUGUUCUGCCGGGGUGCCAAAGGGUAGGGAGCUCUGGGCCCACCCCGACUGCUGCCCCCACUCCCCCGCCUGCCCAGCUCUCACUUGCUGCACACAGGAGGCCAUGCUUGAUGUGAGCUCCUGCACCCGACAGGGGCCAGCCCUGUGUGGGCCUGUGGAAAGCCCCACUCCGUGCUGCCUUCUACCCCUUAGGAUUCUGACCUAAGCUCCUGGGCCUCCUGUGGCCACAGGGCAUGGCCUGAGCCGGACACCCUCAGCUGAGAGCGGCUGUGGCAGGCCCAGAUUUACGGCUUUGUUAUUCCUGUGUUUUGGAGAUUUUACAGCCCCGUGCUCCCUCGAGAACCCUGUGCUUUCUCUAGGACAUAUCAGUCAGACGGCGGAGGAAAUAUCCCAAAUGCUGGGAACAUCCUGUGUCACGGUGUCUCCCGGGCCCAGGUACCCACGACCUUUUGUUUGCAGCCUGAGGGAGGAGGAGACUGAUAAAGUGCGGGGGCUGGGGGGAGGGCCGGCGGCCCCUCUGGUGCCCUGGUUUGUUCUGGUUUGUUCUCCAAGGCGACACACGUCCCAAGCUUCCUGACCAAAACAGUCAUCGCCGUGGGCCUCUGGUGCGGAGCCAGUGCUCACGCUGCAGUGAGCGCCUCUUCAUUCGCCUCCCGUCCGUUUGGGGCAGAUAGCUGACUCUGCAAGGAGCCCCCACACUGGCCAGUGGGGUCCAGCGGCGUUUUGCCUGCGUGGGAUACAAGGCCCUAUUGUCCUGUGCCACCCCUCCCCCACGCCCACUGCCUCCCCAGAACCCUCCAGGCUGCAGCU
rnacentral:lncRNA from 1 species